ensembl:lncRNA
GGAGAUGGGUUUAAGAUUAAAAUUGGCAACCCUGCCUGAUUUUAUCACAUCUCAUGACGCUCGGCACGCUGCUUAAAACCUCAGCUUUUGGAAACUGGCACAAUGAAUUCAAGCUCUGCUUACAAACCCCCAGACCUCUGCUCUACGUAGAUGCAGGACACGGAUCCCACACACACAGGAUCCAGAAGGAAAGGACUACAUGUGACGCUUCAUUCGUCUCCUUAUUUUUGGGAAACGCACUCACGGCUUUUUGAACAUCUGGUAUUAAUAGCUUAUUUCUGCAAUAAGAACAUGAAAAUUUUCUUUCAAAACGGACUAAAACUUGUUUGCUUUGAAAUUUUGGAGAUAUCCACUCAUAAAAGGGAAAAAAAAAAAAAGCAAAAAAAGAGAAAGGGAAACGGAACAGCAAAGGACGUUGAGAUGUCUUUUAAGCAGCACUGAAUUACUCGGUCCAUACAACGAGUGACUACUUUUUAUUCUGCAGUAUUUUUUUGCUGGCCAAAAGACCAUAAGCCAAAGUGCUCCCAGCUGCCAAUGGACCACGGCAGGUCGGGCAGGGCAUGGGACAGGCCAGCACAAACCCACCUCCAAGUCCUACUCAAUGAUCUGCUUUAGAACAGCCUGCAGUCUGACCCCAGGUAAUCCCACAGAAUCUGCAGCAGCAACUGGACCUGAAGGCAAUUUAGGAACAGUGACCGCAAUUUAGGCUCUAACAGAGCAGUACCUGUGAUCUCCUCCUGGCACCUCCACCACCAUUUGCUUUCCAGCUCUGGUAUUAUCUUUCCCUUUUCAUCUUUCACUUCUCCCCCUCCCUCCUUCCUCAUACAGUAGCUCUUUCAGCUGCUCUCAGUAGGUGCUGCUUUACCUAAUUAAUUGACGACUCAACAAGUGCACUUUCUAAUUAAAGUAAAUAAGCCCAUGCUUGGAACAGUGGCUCACAGUGUUACCCAGCACUCGUUCCUCAGGAGCAGGAUAUUAUGGGCUCCACCUCCUCUGUGCCAAAUUAAUGCAUUAAACUAAUAGAGCAGAAGCAAAUAAAAGCUUCCUAGAGCAUCACUUAGGAGUGUUAUUCUGAAACAAAGCCAUUCCCAGUCUUGAAUUGCUGAAGCCAAUGGGAUCUUCUAUGUUAGCUGGACUUUACAGAGAGGGGGGAAAAGAACAGCUCUUUCAAACCCAAAUCUCAAACCCAAAGUCCCAUUUGGCGCUUCCAGUGCUGCUGUUGUGGAUGAUUUGGUUUGGGAAGAACUGAGGGAUCAGAACCUCAGGAAGUUCUGUUACCUCUUAUGGUACCUGAAUGACUCGGUCUGUCCCAUAAUAACAUCCCAUAUUAAAGGCUGCUCUCCUCUUCCGUGCCACACAUUUAAGACAGGAAUUUUCCAGACAGCCACACUAAAUCUUCACCUGUGCUCACCAUUUCAUCCAUGCUCACCAUUCCUGCGUACCUGAAGUUAUGAGGGUCUCACCCUGCUGUUAAGCUGGUGAUGAUAUCUCCUUAACGGGUGCAAUCUAGCAUGCAUUUAAACCCAGUUACACCUCUUCCCCCUGCUGGGUGAGGUUGGGAGGGGAGAGCCCUGUCCCAGCACGGGAGCCCGUCACGUUUUGGCUGCUGAGGGAACAUCAGAAGCGUUCCCUCCCUGGGAGAACCCUGCAUUCGUGAUGUCCUAUUUCUCAGAAACAUCAGGACGAGCCUCGAGACACAAAACAGAACAGCGAGGCCAAAUGUGUCACACAGUGUUUUCACAAGGAGGAAAAAUAACCCCCCUCUCCCCCCAGUGCAACCAGUUAAAUGGAGCAGCGGGGUGCUGGGGGGUGGUUGGCAUCCAGCUCUGAGCACGCAGAGGGACCAGCAGUGCCAUCCGCACGCCCUGUGAGAACCCCAGCAAAAGGUACAUUCCCAAAACAAAUCGAACCAACCAUCAUCUUCCUCUAUUGUUCAAGACUUGGUGUGGGUUUUUUUUUUUUUUUCCAGCAUUAAAGGCAAAAAAAAAAAAAAGAAAAAAAAAGCCAAAAUUCAGAGGAUCUCAGAAUGCUAUGAGAACGGUCAAAAGUGCUUCCAAACCAGCAUUUGAGUUGGUGUCUGAACUUGUUUCCACAGAUGGGCUGGGAGCAGGGCCGUGUUGGUUUAGGCCUUACGUACUUAGAGUUCAUUAAGUCAAAAGAAAGCUUUGUGCCUCGGAGUAGUUUUUGGAUGAGCUUACAGGUUUCAAUAGCCUGGACAGUGCAACGGGGAAGGGUGAACGUGAAAGGGGGAACAGAAGUGCAUUGAGAAGUGAGUGGGAAAGCGGGGUGACAGAGCUGCAUUUUGCACCAAGUCACUCUCAGCUUGUUGCAAGCUCCUGGCUUCGAGCAAUUAGCUCAGAAAUAAGGAUUUGUUUGUGUUUUCACAGUCCCUCACUGUUGUGGAAACCAGACAGAAAGCCAACAAAAAUGGGGCUCUUCCCGCUGCAUUUCCUUCAGCAAUAAACACCUCCUUCAUUUCUAUAUAUAU